CUCAUCAGGAGGAGAGUCCUGAGUAAGGAAGAGACCUGAGGGAAGGGAGUUAUAGGUCAAGGUCCAGUUCAAAAAUAGGUAGCGGUCAGCUUCUGUGUUGUGUUCCAAGGAAAGAGGAUCUUGUUGCUUUUAAAAGACCCUAAGGAGGAGCUGUGUCUCUCUUCUGCGAAGGAGAGAGAGAAAAAGAGGAGUCAGGUGGGAUAUUGUGGGACAGCAUUUAUUAAAACUUGGUCUUAAUCAGAAUCGUGUAGAAAACUGAAGUUCUGGAAGAGGCUGCAAUCUAGGAGAAGGGUACAUAAGUCCCAGUCAGCAAGGGGUGACAAACAAAGGCAUGUACCUGGAAGGGUGAAGGGUACCCUAAGUCAGCCCGGCUUUGAGGCCAUUCCUUUGCUUUGUGAGUUUGAAUUGCUUCAGGCUGUGAAAGACAUUGGACCUAAGUAUCUCACUUCCUGGGGCCAAAUCCUGCACUGCUGUCUGCUGCAACAUCAUUGUAGUUUAAGAAAAUCCAGAAGAUUAACUUAAAACUGUGUUUCUCCAAGUAUCUCUACUAGGCAUGGUUUUUUGACCACUCUACCAUAUUUGUUUGGGGGAGAGGAGAGGCAGAGGGAAUUAAGUUUGAUUGCAUCUCUGGCUGUAUAUAUACAUUCAUAUAACCUGGAAGAAUUUGCAACCUUUCCUCACUGCUCCCACCUCCCAGCAACACUGGGAAGCACAGCCAGCACUCCCCAGACACCCCAACCCCCAUUUAUUAACACAAGACCUUCUUUAUUUCUUUUUUUUUUUUUCGCUUCAUUUUAUUUUAUCCCUCAGUGAGUGACUUCCUUCAUUUCACCACACUUCCCCACCCCCAGUUUUUUUCCACUUGCCAUUUCAUUACGUCCCAGCAUCAUGUUCCCACCCUCCUCCUCCACUCCCCUCCCUGCAGACUAAUCUCUCGCACAUCCCUACCUACAGCAGGGAUAGAAGCCUGUCCUGGAUCACCAGCCUGUAAUGGUAACUCACAGCUGUAGCUCCUAGUCAGGUGCCUGCUUGCCAGUCCUCUAGUGGCAAGUCACUGCUGUGCAGGCAGGGGACAGUCAGAGAAGGUUUUUAACCUUGAGGGGUGCCUGUAGAUGUGCGGGGAUACUACUCCAGUGUGCUGUAAUUAGUGUCAGAGCAGACUUGAUUGAUUGAGCCUGCUGACAAGUGCUAAUUAGCGCAUUCCAACAGCCUCCAUGUAUCAUGUGUUCAGCACCCCCACGCUUCACAGUGGUGGUGGUGGGGGGGGGGGAAUGCUUUGACUAAAGUUCAUUCAACAAAGUUUGGUUGGAGCACCCUCACCACCAUUUUGAGGCAUGGGGAUGGUGAAUACACUAGAUACUGUGGGCACUUUGAUUGGAGCAGCUCUUGGAAUGCUCUAGUUAGAGCACCCAAGUCUCAGAGCACGUAAAAACACUCAAGGUGUCUGCUCCAAACUCGAACUAGAACUUACACUGAUCAACAUUUGAGCAGCUCAAAGUGCAACUUGUAACAAGGCCCUUAUACUGACACUUAUGAAGGGAGAAUCCAUCCUUGUAUACCUAAACACUACCAAGACCAUUUAUAUUCGUGGUAUCCUGUUUGUAUUUCUUCAUGUGGCAAUGAUAUGUUCUUGCAUGUGCAGUUAUGGUCUUGUUUUUGUGUACAAGAACAUGGCCCUGUGAAAUGUUAAACACCUUCAACACCAGCUGAAGUAGGAUUAUGCCCACUUAAUGACCUUGCAAGAUGAGUCCCAUAUUAAAAGAGCAAUUUGUAAACUUGUUUUGAAAAGAUUAAGCUCUGAUCCAAAAUAUAGAUUGGUGGGUGCUGCUUUUUUAGUCAGUGGCAUCAUUCAUGUGUUUGGAGAUAUAUGCAUAUGCAGGAUUGAAUGGUCAGGUUCAUUUAUUUUAACAACCUCAUAGUUCCCUUGUACCCCUGCUUUAUGUGUGGCAGAUAAGAAUGUCUUGAUGUUUUGGAGUAAUGUGCUUUGUGUGACAGAGUUGUUGUGUAGUUUUCAGAAUAGCUUAUAUAAGUAUUUAGUAUGGUUUGGAUAGGGAUGACCCUUCCUUGAGCAGGAGGUUCCUUGAGUCCCUUCCAUCCCUGCUUUUCUAUGGUUUUAUGAAAAAUUACGGCUUCACUUCUGCAUGCAGCAUUCAAAAGUGGAACUGUUGUGUGAUCAACAAAACAAAGGGGAUAAGAAAGGCUUUGCAAAAGCAAGUGUGUUUGGAAUCAAGUUAAAGGCUGGGAGACACCAGAUAUCCGGUGAAGGGAAAGAGCUGCACAAAGAGAAGAAUGAUUAAGUUCUAAUAGAAGGCAGCCAUCAGUAGUGGUCCAAUUUUUGGCCAGGCCAGAGCCACAGUAUGGCUUUUGAGCCUAACUUUUGGGGCCACAAUGGCUUGUUCUGCCCUACAAUAAGCGUUUCUAAUAUUGGCCCUCUCACUAGAUCCAUGUGCCUAAGCACAAGGCUUUACCAUUUACUCAUCUAACAGCUGUUAUUUCCAAUACUCAGGGCUGCCUCCUGAUCGAUGAGGAGUCCGCAGCAACCCUUUGGACUUGGUAACGGGGGUCCCUCAACACCAGAUACCCCCACCAUAUUCUGGGCAUCUCGGGUACUUCUUUGGUGUGGAAGAAACAAGCCUAUUACUUUUUUUAUUUGCUAGGGCAUAGUUAUGGAGAUAGUUUUUACACCUCACCGGAAGGCAGUACUAGCCUGAGGAAGCUAGCCACAGAUGAGCUGCUGCUUCUGGUUGCUGGGGAUGCAGUUGGAUUGGUGUUCUGGGGAGGAGAUUGGACUGAGCCAGAUGCAACAUACAGCAUAUACCUGUUUCCUUUGUCAUGCAGACCUCAACCAGACAUCUCAUUAUUCACAAUGUAAGGACCAAUGCCCAAAUGGCAGUCUGGAGAACAGACAUCUUUAACUUAUUGCCUUGGUAUGGAAACAUGUCAGACAAGGGAUGCACUGGAGAGCAGAGGGAAUGUAGUGCUCUGGGCGUUGCUUCUUCAUAGGGGCCUACAUUUUAUGAUGUCUUUGGAAGUCUGGAUCAUGGUCUUGGGCACCAUCAGAAUUCCACUUAAAUUGAAUGGAUGUUUCAGGCAUGCAGCACCUUUUAGGACCUGGGGUAUUGGUCCUGUGAAUACAUGUCAUGGAAACAGACCCAUUUAUCUCAGGACCUGGUCCUGUGAACCCUGACAAAAUAAAUCAAAUUACCCAGCACUUCAAACAAGUAAGAAACAAAACUUUGUCAAAACUCUAUGAACACAGCAGACUGAACUUUUUCAUACUUACAAUUUUCACAAUUAUACUGAAGACUCCAAAACAAUACAGCACAACAGACAAUUUUCACUAAUUUGCUUAAAUGAGGCCAGGAGGACCAUCUGUCAGGAAUCCACAAUGACUCCCAAUUUCAUAUACAGGUGAGUUUAAUAAAGUAAGUCUCAGAAGAUUUGAAAAAUGCCAGUCAGACAACCACAGCACAAAAAAAAAUGGUUUAAGUCAGUAAGAUGUAGGAAUACUAAUUUCACACUUGAGAGAGCAGAAAAAAAUUAUUAUAUAUGUGUACAGUCCAAAAUUUUCAAAUGUUUGAUCUCUAACUUUGUAGCUUUUCUCCUUGGUAUGUGUGCUCCCAAGCCCUUGCCAACAUAUCUUCCAAGAACAUGAAAGGCUUUUCAAGCUUGUGUUUAAAACACAGAGCAUUUUUGACCAAGCUGAGCACUGACUGCCCUUCUGUGUACAUGGAAACUGGAAUUUCCAGCUCACAAGGACACUCUCAUGGACCCAGAGGGAGACAACCAUCAAUCUUCAGCUCCCUCUGUGCAAAAAUGAAGUUUAUUUCCUACCUAUGGGGACUUUUUGCCAUCUUGUACCAGCUAUACUUUUCCCAGGGCCUGACAAAGAGACUUUGAUCCUAAAAGUUUGCAGAAAAGGACAAUUUUCUUGUGAUUUCCCAAUUAGUCUAAAAAAAGGUAUCAUUUUGGAACCAAGAGUUCUAGUUUUUUGUAUGUCAAAAGAGUUUUUGACACUGUAGUCUUUUCUCUGAGGGUAAAUAGAGACUUUGGAUUUCUCCUUGAACAAAGCCUUUUAUCCUGGGAUCCUACACAAGGCCAACCCUUUUGUCCCCCAUUAAGUACUUGUGAAAUAUCUGGAAUAACACUUUUCCCUGGAGUAGUAAUCCAUGUAAUUGCUAUUCAAACUGUGCAUGUAAACAACUGUCCUACAAACCUGUGUUGAUGCAAGUCAAAAUGUAAGGCAAUCAGCGCUCCCCUCCCUUCCUUCCUCCCACCCACCUCCGGUUAAACCUGACUCUGUUUAUAGCCUAAAAAGAGAACCCUGUUGUUUUUAGGUGCAUCUCCCUCUCUGUGUGAAAAACAACCAAACACGUAUGUUUUAGGCAGUGAGUUGCUCUGGAGCCAGGGUCAGGAUCU